rnacentral:rRNA from 1 species
AGAGAGAGACAUGCGCGCAUAUCAAUAAGCGGAGGAAAAGAAACUAACAAGGACUCCCUUAGUAACGGCGAGUGAAGCGGGAAGAGCUCAAAUUUGAAAUCUUCAAGGUUUUACCUUGACGAAUUGUAGUUUAAAGAAGUGUUUUCUGCUGAAGUUUUGGUAAAAGUUCUUUGGAAUAGGACAUCAUAGAGGGUGAGAAUCCCGUAUUUGACCAUUAUUUUCAGCUUUGUGAUACACUUUCAAAGAGUCGGAUUGUUUGGGAAUGCAGUCCAAAAUGGGUGGUAAAUUUCAUCUAAAGCUAAAUAUUGGCGAGAGACCGAUAGCGAACAAGUACCGUGAGGGAAAGAUGAAAAGAACUUUGAAGAAGAGAGUUAAACAGUACGUGAAAUUGUCAAAAGGGAAGCGUUUGACACCAGUGUUGUUUUCUCGAAAAUCAAUUAAAAAUGGCUCGAUUUUGUAUUGUUGAGACCUUAAAAGCUCACUGUACAUUUUUCGUGUCUUUUUUAACUGCACUUUUCGUUUAACAAGUCAACAUCAGUUUCUUUUGUUGUAAAAGGGUCAUUGGAAGGUGGCUUUCUUUUCGGAGAAAGUGUUUAUAGCCUUUGGCCUCUGCAAUCGGAGAGACUGAGGUCUGCAGCGUAGACUCUUCGGGGUUAGAUACAUUUGCGCUAAGUUAUAGCUUUUUAUAGACAACUUGUUGACUAUAAUUAGUCUUGUAGCUUACUCGCUUAUGCUAUUUUACCUACGCUUAGGAUGUUGAAGUCAUCGUAUCGCG